rnacentral:rRNA from 1 species
CAGCCGCCGCGGGAAAACGUAGGGGGCGAGCGUUGUCCAAAGUUACUGGGCGUAAAGCGCGCGUAGGCGGCUUCUUAAGUCUGGGGCGAAAGGUUCAACGCUUAACGUGAACAGUGCCUUGGAUACUGGGAAGCUUGAGUGUGGCAGAGGAUAGUGGAAUGACUGGUGUAGCGGUGAAAUGCGUAGAUAUCAGUCGGAACACCCAUGGCGAAGGCAGCUAUCUGGGCUAACACUGACGCUGAGGUGCGAAAGCGUGGGGAGCAAACGGGAUUAGAUACCCGCGUAGUCCCUGUCUCUUAUA